rnacentral:rRNA from 1 species
UACGUAGGGUGCGAGCGUUAAUCGGAAUUACUGGGCGUAAAGCGUGCGCAGGCGGUUGUGCAAGUCAGAGGUGAAAUCCCCGGGCUUAACCUGGGAAUGGCCUUUGUGACUGCACGGCUAGAGUGUGUCAGAGGGGGGUAGAAUUCCACGUGUAGCAGUGAAAUGCGUAGAGAUGUGGAGGAAUACCGAUGGCGAAGGCAGCCCCCUGGGAUAACACUGACGCUCAUGCACGAAAGCGUGGGGAGCAAACAGG